GACGAACGCUGGCGGCGUGCUUAACACAUGCAAGUCGAACGGAAAGGCCCUGCUUUUGUGGGGUGCUCGAGUGGCGAACGGGUGAGUAACACGUGAGUAACCUGCCCUUGACUUUGGGAUAACUUCAGGAAACUGGGGCUAAUACCGGAUAGGAGCUCCUGCUGCAUGGUGGGGGUUGGAAAGUUUCGGCGGUUGGGGAUGGACUCGCGGCUUAUUAGCUUGUUGGUGGGGUAGUGGCUUACCAAGGCUUUGACGGGUAGCCGGCCUGAGAGGGUGACCGGCCACAUUGGGACUGAGAUACGGCCCAGAAUCCUACGGGAGGCAGCAGUGGGGAAUAUUGCACAAUGGGCGGAAGCCUGAUGCAGCAACGCCGCGUGCGGGAUGACGGCCUUCGGGUUGUAAACCGCUUUCGCCUGUGACGAAGCGUGAGUGACGGUAAUGGGUAAAGAAGCACCGGCUAACUACGUG
rnacentral:rRNA from 1 species